GGCGAGCCUGCUGCUGCUAAUCGCUGCUGCUGGAAAGGACUGUUGGAGGGCAGGAACGCGUAGGCUGUUGGCACCAGGCUGCACUAGUGACAAACUCUGAGACAAUGUUAUUGAACGUCACAUGUCUUGUGUUACUAUUUGCAGUUUUAUAACUUUUCCUUUGGUUAAGAAAGGAGCUAAAGAGGCACUUACCUCAUUGGUCUUUGGGGAAAAUGUGUUAGCCUAUGGACGUCUGUCUGUGGACUACAUGGAUAGCCUGCCAGGCACACGUGAUGUUGUUUUGCUCUUGUUUCAGGAUCUUUGCAGGCAUAUCCAAUCCAAAGGAAAAAAGAAAAAGGAGCCUUUACUGCUCAUGAAGCUCAGUUAACAUGAUAGUGAUGAGAUUACCAUUGGUGGGGAUGUGCGUGUUGACUUUGGCCUCUGUCCCAAUCAUGAUACCCCGCUUCAAGAGCACUGCACUGAUUCCUGGUGUGCCAGAUCGGCGCAGGCUGCUGCAGUUGCGGCAGAUGGCCCCACCCCUCCCAGGUUUCUUCCAGUUGAAAGGGAGUUUUUCCUUCCCAC